rnacentral:rRNA from 1 species
ACGAACGCUGGCGGCGUGCCUAACACAUGCACGUCGAGCGGGGAUUUAAGUGGAAGUUCUUCGGAAUGGAGAUUUAAAUUCUAGCGGCGGACGGGUGAGUAACGCGUGAACAAUCUGUCCCGGACAGGGGGAUAACACUUGGAAACAGGUGCUAAUACCGCAUAAGACCACGGCCUCGCAUGGGGCUGAGGUAAAAGGAGCAAUCCGGUUCGGGGUGAGUUCGCGUCCGAUUAGCUAGUUGGUGAGGUAACGGCCCACCAAGGCGACGAUCGGUAGCCGGCCUGAGAGGGUGAACGGCCACAUUGGAACUGAGAGACGGUCCAAACUCCUACGGGAGGCAGCAGUGGGGAAUAUUGGGCAAUGGGCGAAAGCCUGACCCAGCAACGCCGCGUGAGGGAAGAAGGUUUUCGGAUUGUAAACCUCUGUCCUAUGGGACGAAGGAAGUGACGGUACCAUAGGAGGAAGCCCCGGCUAACUACGUG